AAAUGGAAUUUUUAUUACAAAAAAAGCAACAGUAAAAGCAGUGAUUAUGUUUUUCAUAGUUCAUUUGCCUUCUUUGCCCUGAAGACCUUGUGUGGAGGAAAAUGAGAUCCUGAGUGAAGUCUACAAUGUCAUUGACUCUGAAGAAGGACUCAGAGACCCAUUGGUGUUUAAUGACCCUUACUGGCCUCUGCAAUGGGAACUGGAGCACCAGUCUUUGCUUUCACUUUGGAUGUCAUCUCAUCAUCUCCUGGCUUCCAGCACAGAUGCUUCAGCCUCCUGAUAUGGACUUGCAUGGGACGCUACACUGAGCUCCAAGCCUUUGACUGGAUCCUUUGGAUCUCCAUUGUGCAAAUAGACCUUUUGCACUUUUUCUCACAUGACUCUGUGGACGACCAUUUGUGGAACCAGGUGGCUGCCUGUCUGCAGCGGGGUGAUUCGGUGUCUUCUGCGGGACUCAGGACCUCGGUAGGGCGUGCACAGACCUGCCUGUCUGCCGCAGGCUGAUUCGACGUGUUCUGUGCAACCCAGGACCUCGGUAAUGAAAACAUCCCCAUGACCAGACAUCCUCAGGAAUAAUUCCUCUUGACUGCAGAAGAAAUUUCUCCUGAUUGUGAGCUAAAUUCAACAGGGAAGAUAGAGUGGCUGAAUUAAAAUAUUUUGUUCCCUUCUUUGUGUAGACAAUCUGAAUUUCCGUGUUUCAUGAUUUUUUGCUUUACUGUAUUCUAGCAC
rnacentral:lncRNA from 1 species